rnacentral:pre_miRNA from 1 species
UAACCUCCAAAGGCUGGCGGGCCCCCAGGCUGGGCUGGGCGAAUACCUCUUUGAAAGGCUCAUCCUUAAGCACAAUGAGGAGG